rnacentral:rRNA from 1 species
GUUCGGAUUGCAGGCUGCAACUCGCCUGCAUGAAGCCGGAAUCGCUAGUAAUCGCGGGUCAGCCACACCGCGGUGAAUACGUACUCGGGGCUUGUACACACCGCCCGUCACGCCAACCGAGUGGGGGGUACCUGAAGUCGUCCGAUGAGGGCGCCGAGGGUGUCCUUCAUAAGAGGGGCGAAGUCGUAACAAGGUAGCGGUACGGGAACGUGCGGCUGGAUCACCUCCUUUCUAGGGAGUAA